UAUCAACCCUGGAGCUAUCCCCUUUUAUGGUAUAAAAUAAGGCCCUUCAAAGAUCAUCAUUACAGGAUCUCGGGUGACUCUACUGACACCAGGAGGACGACCUGAAAAUGCUCAUCGAAUCCGACACGGAAAACCACCUAAUCAGUGUAUCUGAUUUGGAGGAGUUUAUAUUGCAGACCGUCGACAACUCUAUACGAAUUUGAUGUGACCGGUAUCGAGAGAGCAGUAUAUCCAAAUCGGAAUUGGAAACCCUGGAACUGGACCAGGAUAUUCUACUGUCCGCAAUCGUUCAACCAGAGGUAGUGGCUGUGAUCAUACCAUUACCACCAGCGGAGGUAGAGACAUCCCCAACAUCCAGGCCAAGGUCGGCUCAGAUGAACAGCAAGGCGGUUUCAGCAUCAUCGACAGCAGGAUGGGUUUUGGCACAGUUGACCUGUGAGUGUGAUUUGGCAAACCGGUGCCUGAACAUUUAAAAUGGUGCCGAAAAGAC